GGGGAUGUAGCUCAGUUGGUAGAGCACUUGUCUUGUAUGCACAAGGCCCUGGGUUCAAUCCCCAGCACCACCCA